AUUAAAGAGUUCUAUAACUCCCAAACCCAUGUGAACAUACCUAACGUUGCCUCGGCAGGUCGCACCUACCUUGUAGCACCCUACCCUGUAGGGCCUACCCGGGAGGUGCGGGUAAGCCUGCCGGCGGCCCACCAAACUCUGUUUGAUAUUGAAUUCUGAACCUAUAACUAAAUAAGUUAAAACUUUCAACAACGGAUCUCUUGGUUCUGGCAUCGAUGAAGAACGCAGCGAAAUGCGAUAAGUAAUGUGAAUUGCAGAAUUCAGUGAAUCAUCGAAUCUUUGAACGCAUAUUGCGCCCAUUAGUAUUCUAGUGGGCAGGACCGUUCGAGCGUCAUUUCAACCCUUAAGCCUUCGUUGCUUAGUGUUGGGAGCCUACGGCAACGUAGCUCCUCAAAGUUAGUGGCGGAGUUGGUUCACACUCUAGACGUAGUAAUUUUUUUUAUCUCGCCUAUUAGUUGGACUAAUCCCCUGCCGUAAAACCCCCAAUUUAUCAAGGUUGACCUCGAAUCGGUUCAGACAAACUCGCUAAAUUGAAGCAUCUUAGUCAGCGAAGGAAAAGAAACCAACAGGGAUUGCCCUAGUAACGGCGAGUGAAGCGGCAACAGCUCAAAUUUGAAAUCUGGCCCUCGGGUC
rnacentral:rRNA from 1 species